CUAUAUCUUCUUCUUCUUCUGCUACUCAGUUUCUCUCUCAUGGUCUUCGUCUCUUUCUCUCCACUUUCCUCUCACAUCUCUUCGUCU
rnacentral:sRNA from 1 species